UCCCUGAUGUUCUAGUGGCUAGCAUUUGGCGCUUUCACCGCCGCGGCCCGGGUUCAAUUCCCGGUCAGGGAA
rnacentral:tRNA from 1 species